AUGAAAAAAGCACAAGAAAAGCUUGGAGCAUUGCUGGGGCGAAACCCUGGCUUCUCCAAAGAUUUCAACAACUAUGUUGACUUCAGCUUGACGCCGAAAGAAUUUGAGGCAGGGUGGUGUGAGCUGAUGAUGAAGUAUGAGGCUAUGACUGACUCCCACUUCGAGAAUCUAUACAAGUACAGAGAGACAUGGGUACCCUGCUACUUCAAGCACCAAUUCUUCCCUUUCUUGCAGUCAACUCAACACUGCGAGGGGUUCAACGCUGCCCUUAAGCGAUAUGUGAACCCACACAAGUCCAUUUUGAACUUUGUGAAGCAAUAUCAGAAAAUCCAAACACACAUACUAGUCCGGGAGGGUUCAAAAGACUACAGGACAGGACAUUUACAGACUGAAAUGUGGUCAUCUUACCCAAUAGAGAAGCAGGCGUACGGAUCGUAUACUAGGGACUUGUACGAGAAGUUUCGUGAUGAGUUUCAGUUGACUACAAGGUACAAUGUGCGACCGCAUGGUGAAAACUUGUAUGAGGUUUACCCAAAUCAAGAGUGGGUUGCCAAAUAUGGUUCUAGGGGCUAUUUUGUCAUGGUGGAAGCUAGUGCUGGAGACUACGUAUGUGACUACUGCAAGAUUGAGAGGGACGGCAUGCUUUGCUGCCAUAUCUUGAAAGUUUUCAACCAACUUGGUGUUGAUGAAAUCCCAGCGCAGUACAUACUUAGAAGAUGGACACCUAUGGCAAUUCCCAACGCACCCCCUUUGUCGAAGAGCAACCUGAUGAGAUGCCACCACAGUCGAAGAAGGAACUCAGGCAUGCAAAUUUGA
rnacentral:rRNA from 1 species